UACGGGGGGGGCAAGCGUUGUUCGGAAUUACUGGGCGUAAAGGGCGCGUAGGCGGCGCGACAAGUCACUUGUGAAAUCUCCGGGCUUAACCCGGAGCGGCCAAGUGAUACUGUAGUGCUAGAGUGCGGAAGGGGCUACUGGAAUUCUCGGUGUAGCGGUGAAAUGCGUAGAUAUCGAGAAGAACACCUGCGGCGAAGGCGGGUAGCUGGGCCGACACUGACGCUGAGGCGCGAAAGCCAGGGGAGCGAACGGG
rnacentral:rRNA from 1 species